rnacentral:rRNA from 1 species
AGUGAACGCUGGCGGUAGGCCUAACACAUGCAAGUCGAACGGCAGCACAGUAAGAGCUUGCUCUUACGGGUGGCGAGUGGCGGACGGGUGAGGAAUACAUCGGAAUCUACUUUUUCGUGGGGGAUAACGUAGGGAAACUUACGCUAAUACCGCAUACGACCUACGGGUGAAAGCAGGGGAUCUUCGGACCUUGCGCGAUUGAAUGAGCCGAUGUCGGAUUAGCUAGUUGGCGGGGUAAAGGCCCACCAAGGCGACGAUCCGUAGCUGGUCUGAGAGGAUGAUCGGCCACACUGGGACUGAGACACGGUCCAGACUCCUACGGGGAGCAGCAGUAGGGAAUAUUGGACAAUGGGCGCAAGCCUGAUCCAGCCAUGCCGCGUGGGUGAAGAAGGCCUUCGGGUUGUAAAGCCCUUUUGUUGGGAAAGAAAAGCAGCAGGUUAAUACGCCGCUGUUCUGACGGUACCCAAAGAAUAAGCACCGGCUAACUUCGUG